rnacentral:sRNA from 1 species
UCAUUUCCAAAGCUGUGAUUACUCAAAGAAGAUUCCCUUUUUAAGAUAGGACUGGAUUUCAGUCAGGAGUGUUAGGAAUAGGUGAACUUCCCACCUAGAACUUCUAAAAUGGACUGCCAGAUCUCUUCAUAGAAGACUGUAGGGUAGUCAGAC